rnacentral:lncRNA from 1 species
GGUCUUGAAUCAGCUCGAGCACUUUUCAUUUCAUGACUUGGGGAGAAUUACAUAUAUUCUCCAAACCCCAGUUUCUCCAUCUGUCAAGUGGGGCUAAUAAUACCCAGUUUCAUUAUAGAAGGAAGAUACCCCAUCAGAGCACAGGACUUGGAGAUCCUGCUUUAGGGGUGACCAGUUAGUACACAGGCACUGGUGCCCACAGUCCAGGUUUUGAGAUGUGACUUCAUCAAUGCCAGCCAAAGGUCACUGACGUGCAGCUGCUAAGUGGCAGACUGGGACAUGAAUGGGGCAGUUGGUUCCAGAGCCCACACUCCCUACUACUUCAUUACCCUGCCUCUUCUGUUCUUACCACUUUGUCAGUUUUAAUAGGAACCACGUUUUGUGUUAUGUCAAACAUCUCUGUUGUAAGUUUGUUUCAUCGACGGCUCUAACUUUAUUGUUUCCCUCCUUCUACAUACAUUUGGGUUCAUUCUGUUCUUUUUCUACCAUGUUAAGAUGGACGGUCAGCUCAUUAAUGCUUAGUCUACUUUAAAAACUUUAGUUUCUUCAUGUGGGUUUUGAAAUGUGGCAUUUUCAUUGCCAUUUAGCUCUAAAUAUUUUCUAUUUUUAGGAUUAUUUCUCCUUCGAAAGUGAGUCUUAAAAAAUAUCCACUCUUUCUCCAUUAGUAAUUAAAAGCACAGUUUUUUGUUAUUGUCUUUUUUAGGGCAGCAUCAAUAGCAUAUGGAAGUUCCCAGGCUAGGGGUCGAAUUGGACUCAGAGCUGCAGCUGCUGGCCUAGAUCACAGCCACAGCAAUGUCAGGUCCAAGCGGCACCUGCAACCUACACUGCAGCUCAUGGCAACACCAGAUCUUUAAGCCACUGAGUGAGGCCAGGGAUCAAACCCGCUUCUUCAUGGAUACUAGUUGGGUUUGUUACCACUGAGCCAUAAUGGGAACUCCAAAAGCACAAAUUUAAAUUCCCAAAAUGUAUAUUAUUUAUCUUUUGGUUAUGAUUUCUCACUUUUUUUUUUCAUUGUGGUCUGUAUUAUACUGAGUCUUUGGGAUUUGUGGAAACUUGCUUUGUGACCAGCUACCAGCUAAGUUGUCAUUUUUUUAAAAAAUUAAAAAAAUUUUUUUUUUUUAAAUAAGUGAUGCCUGUGUGCUUGAAAAGGAUAUGUAUUCUCUAAGUGCUCAAGAUUCAGGAGUUUCUGUGGUGUUUGUCAUACGGACCUUGUUCAUUGCCUUCUCCAAAUUGUAUGUUUCCUAAUUUUUUCACCUACCUACUCACUAAAAAUUGGUUUGGAGAUUUGUCUAUUUCUCCUUGUAAUUCUGUCAUUUUUGGCUGUAAGUGCAUUUUAGAUUAUGUUCACAGAGUGAGUAAAAGGUCAUGGCUUAUAAUUCUUCCUGGUGAAUUAUUCCUCUAAUGUUAUGCAAGAACCCUCCUUAAUCCUUAACUCUUUUACUUAAAAAAUUAUCUGAUAUUAAUAUAGCUCUACCAGGUUUUUUUAACAUAAUUUUUCUUUACUUUAAAAUUUUUGGCGUCCUUAUAUUUCAGUGAGUCUCUUGUAAUUAAAAAAACAAAACAAAACCCUAAUCUGAUAUCUUUGUCUUUUGAUUUGUGUUUAGUCUAUUUAUGUUUAUUGAUAAUUUUAGGUUUAUUUAUACUUCUUAUUGUCUAUUAUUUGCCCUAAUUUUUUUUUAAUGCUUGAAAAUAGUCUGAUCCUGUUUUCUAUUGGAUUGAGGUUUUUUUUUUUUUUUUUUUUUUUUUUUUUGUCUUUUCUGUCUUUUUAGGGCCGCACCUGUGGCAUAUAGAGGUUUGCAGGCUAGGGGUCUAAUCAGAGCUGUAGCCACAAGCCUACACCAGGGCCACAGCAACACCAGAUCUGAGUCACGUCUGCAACCUACACCACAGCUCACGGCAACACCGGAUUCUUAAUCCACUGAGCGAGGCCAGGGAUCGAACCCGAAACCUCAUGGUUCCUAGUUGGAUUUGUUUCCUCUGUGCCACAAUGGAAACUCCUGGAUUGAGUUUUCUUUAUUCCCUCUUUCUCCCUCCACCAGUCACUUCUCUCUUCUCAUUAUUCCCUAUUCUCCUUUUCUUGGUUUAUUUGUUUAUUUUUUCUGAAGAGGUAACACCACUCUGUAAUUCUCCUUUUCUGAUUUCCUUGAAAAUUUAACAUGCAUAGUUGACAUUAAGUCUAUACAAAUUAAAGUCGAUCAUUAGUUAUCCUUAUUCUUCUUAUAAACAAUGCAGGGACUUGGAAGGUUUAACUCCAGUUACCUCUUACAGUCCUCCCAGGAUUAGUUGUCAUCAGUAUUUUACAGUCAAUGAAUUAGUUAUCCAGAUCUACCAAAAUAUUUACCAGUUCUUUUGUUUUCUAUUUCUUCAUAACUUUAAUUUCUUAGUUCCAGUUUCCAUCUCCUUUUUGAAGUGCAACCUUUCAUAAUUCUUUCAAUGAUAAGUUUUUCAAUGACUAACACUAUCUUUUGUUUGAAUUUUUUUUUUUUUUUUGUCUCUUUGGAGCUGUACCUGCGGCAUAUGGAGGUUCCCAAACUAGGGGUCAAAUCAGAGCUGUAGCCACUGGCCUGCACCACAGCCACAGCAACACCAGAUCCGAGCCACGUCUGCGACCUACACCACAGCUCACAGCAACUCCUAAUCCUUAAUCCAGUGAGCAAGGCCAGGGAUUGAACCCUUGACCUCGUGGAUGCUUAUCUUGGAUUUAUUAACCACUGAGCCAUGACGGGAACUCCAUGAAACAGGUGGUUUUCUAAGAGGCUGUCUUGAUCGACUUCCUUCUCCUCACCUCUGGUUUCACCUCAAUAUUAAGAGCUGGGGUUGAGGCAUUUUAAAGGCCAGACCCACCAUGUCCACCAUCUGCCCCAACUCUGUCUUGACCACUUAAGAUUCAAGAGAGAGAGAGUCUCUUGGUCCUCCCUGACAAGUCUCCAGCCCAGUGGAUAGAAGAAGCUUUUCAUGGUGGACAGUAUAGGUGGUACCAAAUAGAAAAGCAUAGUGAUUAAGAGCUCAGAUUCUUGAGCAAAUCAUAUUUGUGAGUCUAAGCUCACUCUCAAUACUGUGUAACCCUGAACAAGCUACUUAGCCUCCAUUCCUUUAUUUCAUUUAAAUGUAGUUGGGAGUUCCCAUCGCGGCACAGUGGUUAACAAAUCCGACUAGGAACCAUGAGGUUGCGGGUCCGAUCCCUGCCCUUGCUCGGUGGGUUAAGGAUCCGGCGUUGCCGUGAGCUGUGGUGUAGGUCACAGAUGCAGCUCGGAUCCCGCGUUGCUGUGGCUCUGGCAUAGGCUGGCAGCUACAGCUCUGAUUAGACCCCUAGCCUGGGAACCUCCCAUAUGCCGCAGGAGCGGCCCAAGAAAUGGCAAAAAAAAAAAAAAAAAAA